rnacentral:tRNA from 1 species
GGAGUUGUGGCUCAGUGGUAGAGCACAUGCCUCGUAUGCAUGAGGCCCUGGGUUCUCAGCACCA